CCUACGGGGGGCAGCAGUGGGGAAUAUUGGACAAUGGGCGAAAGCCUGAUCCAGCCAUGCCGCGUGUGUGAAGAAGGCCUUCGGGUUGUAAAGCACUUUCAGUGGGGAAGAAAGCCUUGGGGCUAAUACCCUCGAGGAAGGACAUCACCCACAGAAGAAGCACCGGCUAACUCCGUGCCAGCAGCCGCGGUAAUACGGAGGGUGCGAGCGUUAAUCGGAAUUACUGGGCGUAAAGCGCGCGUAGGCGGUCUGAUAAGCCGGUUGUGAAAGCCCCGGGCUCAACCUGGAAACGGCAUCCGGAACUGUCAGGCUAGAGUGCAGGAGAGGAAGGUAGAAUUCCCGGUGUAGCGGUGAAAUGCGUAGAGAUCGGGAGGAAUACCAGUGGCGAAGGCGGCCUUCUGGACUGACACUGACGCUGAGGUGCGAAAGCGUGGGUAGCAAACAGGAUUAGAUACCCCAGUAGUC
rnacentral:rRNA from 1 species